rnacentral:tRNA from 1 species
UACGAGUAGCUCAGUUGGGAGAGCGACUAUAGAUCGAAGGGUUCCUGGUUCGAUUCCGGGAUUCGGCG